rnacentral:rRNA from 1 species
GACGAACGCUGGCGGCGUGCCUAAUACAUGCAAGUCGAGCGGACGGACGGGAGCUUGCUCCCGGAAGUCAGCGGCGGACGGGUGAGUAACACGCGGGUAACCUGCCUGUAAGACUGGGGUAACUCCGGGAAACCGGGGCUAAUACCGGAUAGCUUCUUCCUCCGCAUGGAGGAAGAAUGAAAGGCGGCCUUUGGCUGUCACUUACAGAUGGACCCGCGGCGCAUUAGCUAGUUGGUGGGGUAACGGCUCACCAAGGCGACGAUGCGUAGCCGACCUGAGAGGGUGAUCGGCCACACUGGGACUGAGACACGGCCCUGACUCCUACGGGAGGCAGCAGUAGGGAAUCUUCCGCAAUGGACGAAAGUCUGACGGAGCAACGCCGCGUGAGUGAAGAAGGUUUUCGGAUCGUAAAGCUCUGUUGUCAGGGAAGAACAAGUACCGGAGUCACUGCCGGUACCUUAACGGUACCUGACCAGAAAGCCACGGCUAACUAC